rnacentral:lncRNA from 1 species
UAGGUGUCCAAUCUAUGUCCAGCCUUAGGUGUCCAAUCUUAGUGUUGUCCAACCAGUGUCCAAAUCCAACCUUAGUGUUGUCUGAUCAGUGUCCAACCCAUAGGUAUUACCCAUAGUGUCUAACCUUAGAAACUAGUCAGACCAGUUGUAGGUCUCACCAUCCACCCAUAGUGUCUGAGUCUAGAGACCAACCUUAGGUUCCACCAGUCC